rnacentral:lncRNA from 1 species
UGCCUGGAGUGAAGAUUCUGCCCAUUGGUCAAGAGACCUCCCUCUCAGAUGCUGGCUCUGCCCCUGCCUUUGGGGGUCGACCCUUGUACUCGCAGGACCUUAGGUGACUCUGACUUUGUCAAAGGAAAAAUUUCUGCAUGUGCACACACAGAUCUUGGAAGUUUAUUCAUCUCAGCAGAGGCAGACAGGAGCAUCAACAGCCUUGGGGACAGCAGCAGUGGUGAAAACUCGGGAAAUAUCAAAAACUUCCAAAAAAUAUAAAGAAUCAGAAAAAGCGGCCGGAUGCAGUGGCUUACACCUGUAAUACCAGCACUUUGGAAGGCCAAGGUGGGUGGAUCACCUGAGAUCAAGAAUUCGAAAACAGCCUGGCCAACGUGGCAAAACCCCCAUCUGUACCCAAAAUACAAAAAUUAGCCUGGCGUUGCAGCGGGCGCCUGUAAUCCCAGCUACUCAGGGAGGCUGAGGCAUGAGAAUUGCUUAAACCUGGGAGGCAGAGGUUGCAGUGAGCCGAGAUCGCACCACUGCACUCCAGCCAAGGUGACAGAGCAAGACCUCUUCUCAAAAAAGAAAAAGCACCCACAAUUCCAACUGAAAGUUAACUACAUUCUAUAUUUUGUCAUAAUUUGUUUUCCAUCACUUUUUGUAUUUACAUUUAUUUUACA